rnacentral:ncRNA from 1 species
AUAGAGAAAUAUAGGGGUUGGAAGGUAUUAUCCCAGGUUUCGAUUUUUUGUGAUUUUGGAGUGCUAGGAUAUCCCUCUUAUAGUAAUGGUGUUUACCUUCAGUUUCAUAAAUGGAACAAAUCAUAAAAACUAUAGGAUUCUUAUAUAGGUAGGGUUAUAGCUUCCAAUAUAGGCCAACUCAAAAUAAUUCUGGGAACCGCACGGAGCUAUCAAACCCCCUCGGGAGGGAGAGAACCACACAGACUCUAAAAUGAAAGGACAAUACCACUCAAUGACAUUCUCAACCAUUUUUACCAUUUUUAGCAACAAUUAGAAGAGAGCCAUUGCUGAUUUCUACGACAUCUCCACGAGUUUGGCCGAAUGGGGCUCCUUUGCCUCUGUCGCUGUCCAAAUAGAAGUUGUGACCCCUGAAUAUCUCCACUCCUACACAGGUUUGGAUGGAUAGGGCGUGUUGCUAUGCCUCUGUCGAUGUAUCCACUCCUACAUGUGGGGUUUUGCCAGAUAGGGAUGCUCUUGUGCUCCUAGGGUUGUGCUAUGCUUGUUGUCUCCACUCCUACACAGGGUUUGGCCGGAUAGGGCUGCUCUAAUGCGCCUAGGUCGAUUACUCUCUCUCUGGUUGUUGUCGUGAAUGGGUGUAGGAAAUUAACCUUGUCAAAAAUGGUAUGGACAAGGGGAAUCUGACUGUUUAAUUGAAACAAAGCAUUGCGAUGGUCCCUGCGGAUGCUAACACAAUGUGAUUUAUGCCCAGUGCUCUGCAUGUAAAGUGAAGAAAUUCAACCAAGCGCAGGUAAACAAUGUGAGUAACUAUGACUCUCUUAAGGUAUCCAGAUGUCUUGUCAUCUAAUUAGUGACACGCAUGAAUGGAUGAACGAGAUUCCCACUAUCCUUAGCUACUAUCUAGAGAAACCACAACCAAGGAAAUGGGUUUGGAAAAAUUAGCAGGGAAAGAAGAUCCUGUUAAGCUUGACUCUAGUCCAACUUUGUGAAAUGGCUUGAGAGGUGUAGAAUAAGUGGGAGUCAUUUUCAGUGCAAGUGAAACACGACCACUACUUUUAACAUUAUUUUACUUAUUUUGUGGGGUGGAGACGGGGCAUUGCACAUAUGUUAAAAUAUAACACACAUUUCCUCAAAGUGUUGUCAUUGAUGGAAAUGGUGGAGUGUGAUAUUCUAAAUUUAAAUAAGUAUGCAGAACAUAAAUAAUUAGCUAUAAAUGGAAGAUAAAUAAUGAUAUAAAUAGAACAAUACCACAAUAAUACCGGAAUAACACCAGAAAGAGCACUUUGAUUACUGAGAGCAAUGUUCACUUGCCUCUUCGAGGGGGAAACCUCC